GGGCACGUGGCGUAGUGGUAUCGCGUUUGCUUCGCACUGUUAUCGGCAUCUUCCGAUCGUGAUUGUAAAAGGUCUCCGGUUCAAUCCCGGACGUGUCCA